AGCGAACGGGGAACAGCCCAGAACCUGAAUCAGUUCUUGUGUUAGUGGAAGCGUCUGGAAAGUCGCGCAGCAAAGGGUGAUAGCCCCGUACACUAAAAUGCAUUAAUUGUGAGUUCGAUGAGUAGGGCGGGACACGUGACAUCCUGUCUGAAUAUGGGGGGACCAUCCUCCAAGGCUAAAUACUCCUGACUGACCGAUAGUGAACCAGUACCGUGAGGGAAAGGCGAAAAGAACCCCGGCGAGGGGAGUGAAAUAGAACCUGAAACCGUGUACGUACAAGCAGUGGGAGCACCUUCGUGGUGUGACUGCGUACCUUUUGUAUAAUGGGUCAGCGACUUAUAUUUUGUAGCAAGGUUAACCGUAUAGGGGAGCCGUAGGGAAACCGAGUCUUAACUGGGCGACUAGUUGCAAGGUAUAGACCCGAAACCCGGUGAUCUAGCCAUGGGCAGGUUGAAGGUUGGGUAACACUAACUGGAGGACCGAACCGACUAAUGUUGAAAAAUUAGCGGAUGACUUGUGGCUGGGGGUGAAAGGCCAAUCAAACCGGGAGAUAGCUGGUUCUCCCCGAAAGCUAUUUAGGUAGCGCCUCGUGAACUCAUCUUCGGGGGUAGAGCACUGUUUCGGCUAGGGGGCCAUCCCGGCUUACCAAACCGAUGCAAACUCCGAAUACCGAAGAAUGUUAUCACGGGAGACACACGGCGGGUGCUAACGUCCGUCGUGAAGAGGGAAACAACCCAGACCGCCAGCUAAGGUCCCAAAGUCAUGGUUAAGUGGGAAACGAUGUGGGAAGGCAUAGACAGCCAGGAUGUUGGCUUAGAAGCAGCCAUCAUUUAAAGAAAGCGUAAUAGCUCACUGGUCGAGUCGGCCUGCGCGGAAGAUGUAACGGGGCUAAACCAUGCACCGAAGCUGCGGCAGCGACGCUUAGGCGUUGUUGGGUAGGGGAGCGUUCUGUAAGCCGUUGAAGGUGAACUGUGAGGUUUGCUGGAGGUAUCAGAAGUGCGAAUGCUGACAUAAGUAACGAUAAAGCGGGUGAAAAACCCGCUCGCCGGAAGACCAAGGGUUCCUGUCCAACGUUAAUCGGGGCAGGGUGAGUCGACCCCUAAGGCGAGGCCGAAAGGCGUAGUCGAUGGGAAACAGGUUAAUAUUCCUGUACUCGGUGUUACUGCGAAGGGGGGACGGAGAAGGCUAGGCUAGCCGGGCGACGGUUGUCCCGGUUUAAGCGUGUAGGGGGGUGUU
rnacentral:rRNA from 1 species